rnacentral:lncRNA from 1 species
AUUUGCAGAAUGAAACAUUGAACCACCAGCCACAACCUUUUCUAUGUACAAUUUCAGAACUGACAUUUGGUCUUGUUGUUUAAAACUUUCCAGCAUCGUUUCAACGUCUUCGUCAUCACAAAUUUGCAAGGCAAUAUAUUUUCCUGACACUAAAAAUCUACAGCUGAUAGCAAAAAUAAUUUCAUUAUUUUGUAACUUUACCUUAUCUCCAAUUUUUUUCUUCAAAGCAUUGAAACUAAUUCCACGUUUAAUCUGAAUCGCUUUUUUACUGUUUUCAAAUAUUACACCAUCAUUGUCUUCAUAUACCUUUCUAUUGAAAUACAACACUGUUAUAACCGAAUUCAUCGUGUACCUACAAAAACAAUAUUUUAACACGUCAAAUAAAUUAUAAAAUGGGUAUCACAAAAAGUCAUUACUGGAACUUCAAAAUAAAACUUUAUUUUAAAAUAAAAUUUAACUUCAAAUCAAUUUCACAUUAAGACACUUUAAAAAAAUUUACGAUUUCAAUGUAGUAAUUUUAAACUAAUCAAUAUGUAAUCAAAAUUAUUAAGUUUAAAUAAAUUUCACAUCAACACACUUAAAUAACACGAACCAUUUUAUAAAACUUUAAAUCCAAACUAAUAAAAUGUAAUCACAAAAGGUCCCUUUAUUGGAACUUGACAUUCAAUUUUUCUUUUAAAAAAAUUUAAUUAACUUCAAAUUAAUUUCAUGGACACACUUAAAAAAAAUAUAAUUUCAAGAUAAUAAUUUUAAAGACAAAAUAAAAUAAUUCAUGAACGAAGUUAGUAGUAUAAACAAUUAAUCUUAACAAUAAUAAAUUCAAAAUGACAAUAACUAAUUACAAAAUUACUACAAAUAUAGUAAAAUAAAUAUGAUACUAGAAACAACAAAGCAUCAUCAAAUAAUACUUUCAACUUGAACGGUUAUAAAUUUUUAACACACCAACAAAUGGACCUAAUCUAAUUAAAAAAAUACUACACCUUCAUAUUAAAAUUAAUUUCGUACUCAAAAUACUUCAAAUAAAUAUGAUCUACAAUUUUUUUUAAAUGAAAUAUCAAACGUUCAUCAAUUAUUAACACACUAAUAAAUCAUCAAUAUCAACUUAAUCUAAUUAAAAAAGUACUACAAAUUUCAUAUUCAAAAUAUUUUAUUUUCACUCAUAAAAUUUUCUUCAAAUAAAUAACAUUAAACACUUAAUUUUUCUUUUAUUUUAUACAUUUAAAUACACACUAACAAAUCUAUGAAAAGUCUAUGAAAUAUAAAACAUACUUUAAAGAAAUAUUUCAUACCCCAGAUAUUUUUGAUUGCCAAAGCCAACAAUGGAAAAGAACUGGUAGACAUAAAGUGAAGCCACAAAUAUUUUUGAUUGCCAAAGCCAACAAUGAAAAAUAACUUGCAGACGUAAAGUGAAGCGCUGGAAAAAUACUGAAAGAGGAGUUGUAUUUAAAUAGCCUAAAACGCCAAAGGGAGUGGCGUUUUUUUCCUCCUCCUAAAACGCCAAAGGAAG